rnacentral:lncRNA from 10 species
GCCACAUCCAUGGAAUUUAAAGGUGGAAGAAGAACUGGAGGCUCGGGUCAGUCACUGAACUGGCCGUUCCUCGACAGCCUAAACAGCACAUGCUCCAGGUGGAUCAGCCCGCCCUGUCGAAGGGCAGCUUCCCUAGCAGCGACCCUUGUGCUGGGGGCGAUGCCUGCACGUUUUCGCGGUGUGCUGUUGAAGAAGCCUUGCGGGAGAAGGCACGGAACAGGCAGGACCAGGGCUUGGCCUUUACCAUGCCCCAGACACUCUUCCAGAUGCCGAGGACAACAGCAGAGAACAACACAGAUCUGAUUCUUGGUCUCAUGGAGCACACACUGUAAGGAGUGGACAAGAAAUAAGACAAAGAAGACUGGGUGUGGUGGCUCAUGCCUGUAAUCCCAGCGCUUUGAGAGAGUCGCUUAAGGCCAGGAGUUCAAGACCAGCUGGGCAGCAUAGCAAGACCCCAAGAGUGUCCUCUGUGGGGCUCUGGCUUCUGCCCCCUGGACUGCUUUGAGCAGGAAGGUCUGUGACUGCCUCUCCAUGUCCUGGAUCAGAGGCUGCGUGGGGAUGAGGAGGGCAGGAGGGCUUGGCAGGAGGCUUUGCUCUACUCCAGUAAGGAAGGAGGGGAUUGGACCAGGGAGAUGAGUGCUGUUGCUGCUGUAUUGCUGGAUUCCAGAUCUAGUGGGAAGACAGAGCUGAGAUAAUCCUCAGACAGGUUGGGUAAGAGCAGGCGAGAAGGGGAGGUGUGAAGAGUAACCCCAAGGUUUGAGCCUGAGUGAUGGGAAGGAUGGAAUUGCCAUUUCCUGAGGAAGAGAAAAGGUGCGUCUUGAUGAGAGAAGAGGCUAAAGUCUUGUUCUUGGAUGUUCUGAGUUUGAAAUGCCCACAGGGUACCUACCUGGAGAGGUCAGUGUCAGUUGGACACAUGAGUCAGAAACCCAAAGGAGAAAUCCAGGGUGGAGAUAUAAAGUUGGGAGUUAUCACUAAGUAGAAGACAUCCGAAGCCAUGAGACUCGGUGAAGGCCCCCAGGAGAGACUUGACACAAGGAAGCAAAGAGGUUCAAGGAUGGAGACUGGGCACAUUCCAAAGCUCAAAGCUUGGGAAAAUGGGGAGGAGCCAGAAAAGAGGGCUGCAAAGGAGCAGUGAGUGAAAAAUAGAAAAAGCCUGAAAAGGGGAUACCCCGGAUCCCAAAUAAAGAGAGCACCUCCAGAAAGAAGAAGUCAUCCACUAUGUCAACUGCUGCAAAGAGCUUUGGUAAUAUUGACACUGAGAACUGGCCACUGGAUUUAGCAAAACAGCGGUCUCUAAGAUCAUAAUGAGAGGAAUUUCAGGGAAGGGGUGGGGUAGACUGUAUGGAGUGGAUCCAAAAGAGUAUGGAAGAUUACCAGUGGCCACAUAAUCUUAGAAAAGAAGGACAAAAUGGGAGGACUUACACUUCCUAAUUUUAAAACAUAUUACAAAGCUACAGUGAUCAAGACAGUGUGGUACUGGCCAAAGGAUGGCUAUAUGGAUCAAUGGGAUAGAAUUGAGAGUCUAGAAACAAGCCCUCACACGUAUGGUCAAUUGAUUUUCAGUGAGGAUAUCAAGACAAUUCAACAAAUUCAACAAAUAGGUAAAGCCUUCUUAGAUAUGACAAUAAAAGCAUAAGUGACAGAAGAAAAAUAAACUAAAGAAAGUAAAAAGACAACACUUCCAGUGGGAGAAAAUAUUUUCAAAUAAUGUAUCUGACAAGGGACUCGUAUCCAGAACAUCUGGAGAACUCUUAUAAUAAUUUUAAAACCCAUUAAAAAUGGGCCAAGGAGGGCCAGGCGCAGUGGCUCAUGCCUGUAAUCCCAGGACUUUGGGAGGCCGAGGCAGGCCGAUCACCAGGACCAGCCUGACCAACAGAGAAACUCCAUCUCUACUAAAAAUACAAAAUUAGCCAAGCAUGGUGGUGCAUGCCUGUAAUCCCAGCUACUCGGGAGGCUGAGUCAGAAGAAUCGCUUGAACCAGGGAGGCAGAAGUUGCAGUAAGCCGAGAUCGUGCCAUUGCACUCCAGCCUGGGCAACAAGAGCGAAACUCCGUCUCCAAAAAAUAAAAAAAUAAAAAAGGCCAAGGAUCUGAAUAGAUAUUUCUCCAAAGAAGACCCACAAAUAGCCAAUAAGCACGCAGAAUGUUCAACAUCAUCAGCCACUAGGAAAAUGAAAUUGAAACCAAAGCGAGAACCAAGUCAUGCCUGCUAGGAUGGCUACAGUGAAACACAGAUCGCAAGGGUAUUGUGAGGAUCUGGAGAACCCUCAUUGCCAGUGACAACACAAAAUGGUGACAAUAUUUUGCACUUCAUCGAAAUGUGACACAUAGAAUUACCAUAUGACCCUGAGACAAAUGAAAAUGUAUGUCCACCCAAAAGUCACACGUGAAUGUUGAUAGCAAUGUUUUUCAUUGUAACCCAAAGAUGGAAGCAAUACAACUGUCCACCAACUGAAGAAUGAAGAAAUAAAAUGGUUAUAUAAAGCCCGGGUGCGGUGGCUCACACCUGUAAUCCCAGCAUUUUGGGAGGCCGAGGCAAGCAGAUUACUUGAGGUCAGGAGUUCGAAACCAGCCUGGUCAACAUGGUGAAACCCCGUCUCUACUAAAAAUAAAAAACUUAGCUGGGUGUGGUGGUGCACACCUGUAUCCCAGCUACUCAGAAGGCUGAGGUGGGAGAAUUGCUUAAGUUCAAGAGGUCAAGGCUGCAGUGAGCCAUAAUCACAUCACUACACUCCAGCCUGGGCAACAGAGCAAGACCCUGUCUCAAAAUUAAAAAAUAUUUAAAAAUCAGAAUUCUGUACAGAAAUAUACUGUACAUGGCUCACAUGCCCCAGAUUGAUCUGCCGAGAGUACACUGUAGACAGGACAGAUUUACCUCGCUAUCAGAACCAAGGCAAUCGAUUAGAUAUAUAGCUUCAGGAAAGCUCAGUAUUAAACUGUCAUUUUGUCAAUAAAACGUUAUUUCAU